rnacentral:rRNA from 1 species
AUUGAACGCUGGCGGCAGGCCUAACACAUGCAAGUCGAGCGGAUGACGGGAGCUUGCUCCUUGAUUCAGCGGCGGACGGGUGAGUAAUGCCUAGGAAUCUGCCUGGUAGUGGGGGGCAACGUUUCGAAAGGAACGCUAAUACCGCAUACGUCCUACGGGAGAAAGCAGGGGACCUUCGGGCCUUGCGCUAUCAGAUGAGCCUAGGUCGGAUUAGCUAGCUGGUGAGGUAAUGGCUCACCAAGGCGACGAUCCGUAACUGGUCUGAGAGGAUGAUCAGUCACACUGGAACUGAGACACGGUCCAGACUCCUACGGGAGGCAGCAGUGGGGAAUAUUGGACAAUGGGCGAAAGCCUGAUCCAGCCAUGCCGCGUGUGUGAAGAAGGUCUUCGGAUUGUAAAGCACUUUAAGUUGGGAGGAAGGGCAGUAAGCUAAUACCUUGCUGUUUUGACGUUACCGACAGAAUAAGCACCGGCUAACUCUGUGCCAGCAGCCGCCGUAACAC